CUGGCGGCGUGCUAACACAUGCAAGUCGAACGAGAAAGUGGAGCAUCCAUGAGUACAGUGGCGACCGGGUGAGUACACGUGACUAACCUGCCCUCGAGUGGGGAAUAACUCCGGGAAACCGGAGCGAGAUACCGCAUAACAUCGCAAGAUCAAAGCCGAAAGGCGCUUGAGGAGGGGGUCGCGGCUGAUUAGCUAGUUGGUAGGGUAACGGCCUACCAAGGCUGAGAUCGGUAUCCGGCCUGAGAGGGCGCACGGACACACUGGAACUGAGACACGGUCCAGACUCCUACGGGAGGCAGCAGUGGGGAAUUUUGCGCAAUGGGGGAAACCCUGACGCAGCAACGCCGCGUGGAGGAUGAAGUCCCUUGGGACGUAAACUCCUUUCGACCCGGACGAUACUGACGGUACGGGUGGAAGAAGCACCGGCUAACUCUGUGCCAGCAGCCGCGGUAAUACAGAGGGUGCGAGCGUUGUUCGGAAUUAUUGGGCG
rnacentral:rRNA from 1 species